GCUAUAAUAUUACUGUAGGAUUGAACUUCACAAGGCACCCACCAGUAUUGUAAUUAUUUUUCUUAGAAAACAAAUGACUAAAUGUAUAAUAUUCAUCAUACUUACACAGUAGACAGUAGUUCUUCUACAGUUCUUGCUAUUAGUACUUUUCUAUGUAAAUCAAUUGUAUUAGUGUCGUGUAAAAAUGAUUGGAUAUCGACUCAAAAACAAAGAUGGAAAACCUGCGUACGGAGUAGAAGAUUCAAAUUUUGAAUUGACCUUUUAUUCAACUUUUGUUUACAAGCCAUAAACGUCACUGGAUUUACAAGGUAAUUAGGGCCUGAUUACAAAGUAUCGUAACUUAAUGUAUGUCUACAUGAGAAAUUUCAAACAUCAAUACUUGCGGGAUUAACUGAAAGCAGAAAGAGUACUUGAGUAUCACAGUGCUUAAUGUCAAUACGAGGAAGCAAUCAUCAUAUUAGUACCUCGCAAAAUGAGUGCCAAGACAUUGGCAAGCUGUGGAGCACGAGAAACAAAGAAACCAAUUUCAGUCAACUGUUGGCUGUUCAAAAAGAUCGUAUAACUGCUCUGAACCUAAUACAAAAAUUAAGGUAUUUUGUUGAAUGAAACGAUAAGUAAUCUCUUAUUCUUACUAGUCAACUGUUCGGCAAAGUAAACUAGAGAAGUUUAUUGACAGAUAUUUAAAUGGGUAUUUUGAAAAAAAGUUGAAAAAACGGCCAACAUUACAGCUAGUUUACUAUCUGCAACAACGAACAUUUUACAACUUCAAAUUUGUUUUAAAUUUUAAGUAGAGUGAUAACGCUGAUGACAAUAUCACAAAGAAGAUUGUAUCCAACUAAAUAAUUUUUCUUGAGAGGAUAAAACUGUUUCCUGUUCUGAUGCAUGGAUGAAAAAGAUAAACGAUUAUAAGCGCCCUUGACCUGCUCGGAGAACUUUUGUAUACGUUUUUUUUACCAACAUCUGUUAAAACAUUAUUUAUGGAAUCGUUAAUGUUUAUACAGCGUUUGCUGGACAAAGAGCCAUACGAGCUGGAAGUGAGCGACCUGGAUACAAGUAUGAUAAACUAUGUCUUUUAUGACUUAGAAAACAUUUAUUACCAAAUAGUGGUGUCACUGUAAUUAUUCAACUACAACAAAUUAUGCAAAGCGUAAAAGAUACGUGUUUAUUUGUUAAACACGAUGAAAUAGUUUAAAAUGCCAUUUAAUUUGUGCAAAGAGUAUAUCUUCAUUGCUUUAAAGAUGGACUCUACAAUGGCUCCGUGAUGUCAUAUAAAAAGACAUGGAUAUGUCCUAAAUUAUAGAGUUCUCUUUCAAUUGGAAACACAAGAAUCAUCCUUAAAUGCAAUGUGUGCAUAAAUCUGUCGGUGCUGAUGAAGAUCUAUUAGUUCUCCCCCGAUCAAUUUUCACCUAUGUUAAUCGAUCGCAUUUGUACGCAGAGAUAAAAUAUGAUAAUUACCGACUGUUAAUUUUAAUUAAUUUACAUUACGACAUUAACAAUUUUGAUGAAUUGUUGUGUUUUUUAAACAUUUAGACAAAUCAUGUUUUUAAAAAAAUGUAUAAAGUAAACUGGUUUAAGACCCAAACUCUUAUUUAACAGAACCUUAUUUCCAUUGUCGCAAUCUAAUAUGAAUGUACAAUUUAUUUUAGGUACUUAUUUGUGUGUUAAAUAUGUUAUUGAAUAUACUGGUAAAAGCCAACGUGGUAUACCAAACUUGUUUUACGAUCUGUGUUAAAUUUUCUAUUUUGCUUUAACAACUUUACCUAUCAAGUAAUAUUAAAUUUUUGUCGUGUCGUUUAUGCUAACAAACAAAAUUAUUUUUUUACUGUUGAAGAAUUAUUGUACUUUUGCAUUGUUACCAUCGAUUUAUUAAUGUAUUUAGUUUAUAACAUGUGCCAUUUAAAAUUUAAAGGGGAAUAUAUUCUAAUAAAGCAAAACUAGUUUUAAUGUUAUAGUUGAAUUUAAUACAAUUAAGUAUUUAACUGAUUUUUGAACAGUCCUUAUUACUAGAUACGGCUUUACACUAUUUUUCCACCCCAACAUUGUUUAGUCAUGUACUUGUAUUAUAUGAAUCAUCUCUGACAUUAACUGUUAAUAGCAUUCAGUUUUGUAAAAAAAAAAAUUGUAUUUAAAUUGCUCAUUAUCAUAGAUGUAAUUAUUGAAAGGUUAUAAUCUUCUA